GAGUGAGAGGAGAGAGUAGUUCUGAAGGUGAAAGCCCAAGAAGGAGUUCUUGAGCUGUGAAGGUCCAUCUUCUUCCUUCUUCUCCCUUUCAGCCAACCUUCUGCCUCCCUGCGAGCUAGCACUCCCCAGGAAGCUGAUCAUUCCGGAGCUUUGCAUGGACGAGUCAUCGAGGCCGGAUGCUUGUGCGGCUGCGAAGCAUCCUUAAAGGAACCUCCUUCUAAAGGUAAGAGAUCUGAUCUCUUUUAUGGUUGAGAUAUGAUCUCAAUCUUCAAAUCACAAGAAGUUGUGAUUUAUGCAUAUUUAUUUGAAUCACACAAUCCUCGGAAUAUGAGGGCUUUGUGAUAUUUGGUGUCAAAGCAAAGGAUUAGUGGAGACUAUCCGAUUCCUAGAAACUCUCACACGUGAUUGUGUGACGAAGCGUGGCUCUCCACCCGGGGGCUCAUGUGAUGAGUGCUUUGAUAGGCACGCGCGGGUGUCACCCUAUGUAUUGGGACUGAGCCCGCGCCAUAUGCGAUGUGCAGUUAAAGACUGUCUUCGAUUGAUACCAGAGUUAAAAUAUCUAAAAUAUCAAGCAUGUUAUGAGUUAAAAUGUUUAACCCGUUCUUUCCGCAUAAAAAUUUUCUGAAAUUCAUGCUUAGCCCUCUGCACGCACACCAUCACUCUAAACAUUGUGGAGGAUCAAUUGCAUUUGUCAAUCAUGACGAACGACUGGUACACAUCUUUAUUCAAUUAGAUUUCUAUAAUAAUUUUCAUAUUAUUGUUCAGUCAUCUCAAAUCAGCCCAUUAUAUGUUAAUGGAUUUGUUCUUUUCUCUUUUGUAAAAAAUAAAGUUCGGUAGGGAGCCAACAAUAGUUGAAUCUUUUAAUCGGACGCAGAAGACAAAACAAGGCAUGAGAGGAUAUGUGGAAAAGAGAAGUGAAGCUGUCAUGAUAAAGUAUUCAGCUGAAUACUCCAAAAAAUAUGGUGAUGCCUCCACCUCAGCUGCUCCACCACAUAAUUAUGACUUAUGGUUUGAGGCAACUGGUGUCCCAACUCAUGGCUAUGUCUAUAUAUGGCUUUAGUCCCAUGGAGAAUCUCACUAGAAUUAUUGGGCAAUCAUCAUCCUCUUCCACUUCUACAAAUCAAGAUCCAGAGCUGUACAUGCGUGAAGACUUUCUAGGUAUUCUUGAGCACGAAAAGAAAAAAUGGCAAGAGGAGAUUCUCCAAAAGAUGAGAGAAGAGAUUAGCUUUGGACCAAGGUAUGCAGAUCAGGGGAGUAAUGGUGAUUCUGGUUCUGCUGAUCAUGCUUCAUUAUGAUUGCUUUUGCCUUAGAUGAUAGGUCUUUGCAUUUCUAGGAGGAAGGAAAUCUCUGUUGAUCUCUAUGAUAUACUUUAAGACUUUGAUUUUGAUGGAUUUAGGACAUGUUGAUACCUAUUUUGAAUGACAUGUUAAAUGACUUUUGCGUAA